rnacentral:lncRNA from 1 species
GCCUCCCGAGUAGCUGGGAUUACAGGCGCCCGCCAUCACGCCCGUCUAAUUUUUUUGUAUUUUUAGUAGAGACGGGGUUUCACCGUGUUAGCCAGGAUGGUCUCGAUCUCCUGACCUCGUGAUCCGCCCGCCUCGGCCUCCCAAAGUGCUGGGAUUACAAGCGUGAGCCACCGCGCCCGGCCACUAAGGGCUUUUACAAUUUCUUAUUUAAACCUCAUCAUGACCCUAGAAGCCUGAAGGCGGAAAGCACCGCUCAAGCCUCCCGAGCGCCCCCUCGUGCACAGUCCUGUUCUUGCUGAGAAUCGCUGGCACAGCGCAUCUCUCUGAAAUGCAGACGUCUCCUCUGCAGCUUCCAGAAUGAGAGCAAAAUCAUCACAACGAGAGUGCCUUCUCUUUCAUGCUCCUUCUGGAUCUCAGGAACAACUCUAGGGGAUGGGUAUUAUUGUCUCCAUUUGCCAGAUGAAGAAGCAGAAGACACUGGAAAUUACUGAUGCUGAAACAGUUGCACCCUGAGCACCUCAACAAUUGAAUUCUCAGUCUCUAAGAGAAGUAACAAAGAGUAAGGACAUCUAACCAUCUACACAACUGUCUCUGUUUCAUAUAGAAACACUUAGCUAACGCUGCAGAUUUUUCUCAUAAGACACUUGCCAUGCCAAUUAACUUGGGCUGGGGUAACGAAUCCCUGGAUAAUAUGAAUUUAUAAUCUAACGAUGUUUUGCUAGUAUCAUAAGAGUAAAGAUGAAAUGCCUCUGUGUCACUCUUCUGCUAACAACCACUCAGCCCAAAAUGCAAGCUGGAUAAGCAGGGACUCCCUUUAGGCACAUGGUCCCACAGAACACACACGGCUGGUAUUCAGCCGCAAGAAGGAAUUUAUUAUGGGAGUUCCUAAGAGCAAUGGCAUGAGAGGAAUCAAUGUGAAAAAUCUAUAUUUCUUCUACCAAAAAUUGACCAAUUUAUUCUCACCUCCCAAAUUAUGGUUUGACUUUAGCUUUGCGGAACUUGAGGCAAGGUGAAUUUACACUGUGAUUUCUUUCCUUCAUACAGAUGAACACCUGACUUACUGACAAAGUUUCUCAUAUAUAUAUAUGAGAAUAUAUAUAUAUUCUUUCUUUUCUCAAUGCUCAUUUUUUUCUUUUUUUUUUUUUUGGAAGAGGAAAAGACUAAGGCUGGCAAAAUUUUCUCUAAGCAUACAUCAGGCAGCUAAAGGGUUUAAAUGAAAGUGCAAUUGAUUGCUUUCCUCCAGCUGGGGAGGGGAUUGGGGUGGGGUGGCAUGAAGGACCCUGUACUUACCAGCCUCCUACUGUGUACCAAACCUUCUCACAGGUGCUCAUCAAAUUUAAUGGCCAAAGCAACCGUAUUGGUCAUUAUAAUUGCCAUCUUACAGAUGGGAAAAAUAAGAGAAGAUGACUUGCUCAAGUUCCCAAGCACGUGCUAGCCUCAGGAUUUGAACCUAGAUCUGUCUGAACUAGGAAACCGUAGUGAUUUUAUGAUACCCUUUGGUAACCACUUGUUUGUAUAACCUUGCCUUCCUCCACUGUUUCACACAGGACAUGGUGUUCACUGCCCCACUGGGCAUUUUUUUUUUUUUUGAGACAGGGUCUCAUUCUGUCACUCAGGCUGGAGUGCAGGAGCGUGAUCAUAGCUCACUGUACUCUCAAACUCCUGAGCUCAAGUGUUCUUCCCAUCUCAGCCUCCUAAGUAGGUGGGACUACAGGCACACACCACCAUGCCCAGCUAAUUUUUUUAAAUUUUUGUAGAGACGAGGUCUCACUAUGUUGCCCAGGCUGGUCUGGAACUCCUGGUGUCAAGUGACCCUCCUGCCUCACCUUCCCAAAGUACUGGGACUAUAGGCAUAAGCCACCACACCCAGCCUUAACAUAAAUCUUUGCGUGGCACAAAGAGCUGGACUUUCUGCCCUUAGAAUUUGUCUCAGUUCCCAAAUCUGAAACUCCAGGGGCGCAAUCGUAAAUGGAAACUCUACUUGCAGGGGCCUUUAGAGAGGAGCUCUUUCUCCUCUCAGCUCUGUCUCUCCCACAGAUAUAACUGUGAGCACAAUUUUAAUGGUCUUUCACUAUACACAAUGAAGAACUGUUGAAGGAAGUUCUAAAUUCCAUGAAGCUCUGCCAUGAUUUCACUAUAAUUCCGUAAACAUAUGCUGAAUAUGAAUAAACGAAUAAACAAGAAAACCAAUGACUGUAUUCUGUGCUUCCCAGCCUGAGAAUAGUUUCUCAAUGAGUGAGGACUAAGGGAAGUGCUGGAACAGGCCUACUGCAGGCCUGGGCUCUUCCCCUCUUCCCACCUGCUUUAAAGUAAAGCCCUCCAGGAACAGAGAGGAAAUUGCACCAAUAAACACAAUAUUAUUUUAAAUCCUUGAUUUCCUGCAUGACAUAGCAAAGCAUUUGCUCUCGUGCCCACUCAAGUCAGCAUGAAAUCCCAUCCCAAAAAAGUGGAGGGGGGCUAGAGGGAGAUUAAAAAGAGAGCAUUUAUCACAACUGCAAUUAGAAUCAGAAUCAAAUUGUUUUAAAGAAACAAUGUCAACGUUUUACAGACUAUUCUUCUAUGAAGUAGGGAGUCUGGGAGCACCCAGCUGCUGUUUUCAACUUCAUAAUCUCAUUCUAGCUAAAUUAUACCAUUCAAUCACAAAAGUAUUAAUAUGCAGCACAAACUUGUAUAUAUACAACAGUACUAAAUAGUCUGUUAAAGGGCAAGUACCUAAUGGCAAAUGAGUUUAUUCAAACCAUAUUUAAUUUGCCCUUUAUCAUCACAGAAGACUAUGAAACCAUUCUUUAUUUCUCUCUGUGUUUUAAUGGUUGUCAUCUAUCAGGCUCUUGGGCAUCUUGUGCAUUUUGAUAAAACGUUAAUCUAACAGAUGUUCAGGGACACUCCUCUGUGGGUGGA